UACGUAGGGGGCAAGCGUUGUCCGGAUUUAUUGGGCGUAAAGAGCUCGUAGGCGGUUUGGUAAGUCUGGUGUGAAAUCUCCACGCUCAACGUGGAGGGGCCACCCGAUACUGCCAUGACUGGAGUCCGGUAGAGGAGUGUGGAAUUCCCGGUGUAGCGGUGAAAUGCGUAGAGAUCGGGAGGAAGGCCGGUGGCGAAGGCGGCGCUCUGGAACAUUUCUGACGCUGAGGCUCGAAAGCGUGGGGAGCAAACAGG
rnacentral:rRNA from 1 species